rnacentral:rRNA from 1 species
CCAAUAGCGUAUAUUAAAGUUGUUGCAGUUAAAAAGCUCGUAGUUGAACUUCGGGAUCAAUGGAUUGGUCAUGCCGAUGGUAUGUACUGGUCAUAUUGGUUCUCACCUUCUAAGGAACCAUAAUGUCAUUUAUUUGAUGUUGUGGGGAAUUAGGACUGUUACCUUGAAAAAAUUAGAGUGUUUAAAGCAGGCUAACGCUUGAAUACAUUAGCAUGGAAUAAUGAAAUAGGACAUCGCAUUCUAUUUUGUUGGUUUCUAGGAUCGAUGUAAUGAUUAAUAGGGAUAUUUGGGUGCAUUAGUAUUCAAUUGUCAGAGGUGAAAUUCUUGGAUUUAUUGAAGACUAACUACUGCGAAAGCAUUUGCCAAGGAUAUUUUCAUUAAUCAAGAACGAAAGUUAGGGGAUCGAAGACGAUCAGAUACCGUCGUAGUCUUAACCAUAAACUAUGCCGACUAGGGAUCGGAUGAUGUUGAUUUUUUAAUGACUCAUUCGGCACCUUACG